rnacentral:rRNA from 1 species
GACGAACGCUGGCGGUGUGCUUAACACAUGCAAGUGGUGCGACGAACCAGAGCUUGCUCUGGGGCAAAGCCGCGAACGGGUGAGUAACACGUGGGUAAUCUACCCCGAUGACCGGGACAACCCGAGGAAACUCGGGCUAAUACCGGAUGUGGUACGGAGACAUAAGUCUCUUUACUAAAGGUAGCUUCGGCUUCCGCAUUGGGAGGGGCCCGCGGCCCAUUAGCUAGUUGGUGGGGUCAAGGCCUACCAAGGCAACGAUGGGUAGCUGGUCUGAGAGGACGAUCGGCCACACUGGGACUGAGACACGGCCCAGACUCCUACGGGAGGCAGCAGUGGGGAAUCUUGCGCAAUGCGCGAAAGCGUGACGCAGCAACACCGCGUGAGGGAAGACGGCCUUAGGGUUGUAAACCUCUUUCAGAUGGGACGAAGGUGAUGCGGUGAAUAGCCGAUGUCAUUGACGGUACCGUCAGAAGAAGCUCCGGGCUAACUACGUGCCAGCAGCCGCGGUAAU